rnacentral:rRNA from 1 species
CAAGGUUAAAACUCAAAUGAAUUGACGGGGGCCGCACAAGCGGUGGAGCAUGUGGUUUAAUUCGAUGCAACGCGAAGAACCUUACCUGGCCUUGACAUCCAGAGAACUUAGCAGAGAUGCUUUGGUGCCUUCGGGAACUCUGAGACAGGUGCUGCAUGGCUGUCGUCAGCUCGUGUUGUGAAAUGUUGGGUUAAGUCCCGCAACGAGCGCAACCCUUAUCCUUUGUUGCCAGCGGGUAAUGCCGGGAACUCAAAGGAGACUGCCGGUGAUAAACCGGAGGAAGGUGGGGAUGACGUCAAGUCAUCAUGGCCCUUACGGCCAGGGCUACACACGUGCUACAAUGGCGCAUACAAAGAGAAGCGACCUCGCGAGAGCAAGCGGACCUCAUAAAGUGCGUCGUAGUCCGGAUCGGAGUCUGCAACUCGACUCCGUGAAGUCGGAAUCG